rnacentral:lncRNA from 1 species
GCGCCAGCCUCCUUCAGCCCUUCAUCUUGUAGCCUGCCGCAGGAGAAAAGAAAUUGCUGUACUUACUGUUGAGUUGGCCCUUUCAGUCAACAUCUUUUGUCAUCCUGUCAUCCCUACUCCCUCAUAAACAUCUUUUCAGAUCCUCUCAGCUCUGAUCUCCUUGGAAUCCCCACCCCCCACUAACGACAGUUAUAAAGUAAGUAUACAUUUUACAUUUUCUUCUCUAUCAGCUGUAAAUGGAAAUUUGGACUUUGUUCAAUGG